rnacentral:rRNA from 1 species
ACUAUCGCAUGCGGUGCUUUUUAAUCGAGGCAAGAGCCCAAAAGCUCCCGUUGUUGAAAAGUUUUGAAUUAAUCGCUUGUUUACUCAGAAAAAAACCUUAAGAAAAAAAGUUGGGGUCCCUCCGGCGGGGGCCCCUGUUACGGGCCGUCUGUUCCCGCCGGGGCAACGUUUAGGUAUGUUCACAGGGUUGUUGAGUUGUAUAACUCGGUAAUGAUUCCGUUGGGGUGACCAGCGGAGGGAUCAUUA